AUUGAACGCUGGCGGCAUGCUUUACACAUGCAAGUCGAACGGUAACAGGCCGCAAGGUGCUGACGAGUGGCGAACGGGUGAGUAAUGCAUCGGAACGUGCCCAGUCGUGGGGGAUAACUACUCGAAAGAGUAGCUAAUACCGCAUACGAUCUAUGGAUGAAAGCGGGGGACCGUAAGGCCUCGCGCGAUUGGAGCGGCCGAUGUCAGAUUAGGUAGUUGGUGGGGUAAAGGCUCACCAAGCCAACGAUCUGUAGCUGGUCUGAGAGGACGACCAGCCACACUGGGACUGAGACACGGCCCAGACUCCUACGGGAGGCAGCAGUGGGGAAUUUUGGACAAUGGGCGCAAGCCUGAUUCAGCAAUGCCGCGUGCAGGAAGAAGGCCUUCGGGUUGUAAACUGCUUUUGUACGGAACGAAACGGCUCUGGUUAAUACCCGGGGCUAAUGACGGUACCGGAAGAAUAAGCACCGGCUAACUACGUG
rnacentral:rRNA from 1 species